CUGAGUUGGGGGCCUCCUGGGCUCUGGUGAGGAAACUGGUCCCCAGAGUUCUCUGGGCCCACUUUCCUGGCCUCAGUGGGAAGGAUCCAGAUUUGCUUUCUCGCUGGAUUUUGUAGGAGUUUCCUGAGGCCGACAAAUGGAGAAACCUCAUUAAGCCCGGAUGAGAGGACUGGGUCACGCCCCGAUGAUGACAAGCAGGGGCUGCCACUUGGCUCUGUGAGUGAAGCAGUCUAUUAAAUUUCAGAUAGAAGAAAUAAUCUGCUCCCUGCACUCCCUGAUCACUUUAUUAGCACAAAAGAUGAAUUUGAACCACAGAUUCAUGGCAAAAAG